rnacentral:rRNA from 1 species
UACGUAGGGGGCAAGCGUUGUCCGGAUUUAUUGGGCGUAAAGCGCACGUAGGUGGCGACGUAAGUCGGGUGUGAAAGCCCCGGGCUCAACCUGGGAAUUGCAUUCGAGACUGCAUUGCUGGAGUACGGAAGAGGAAGGCGGAAUUCCCGGUGUAGCGGUGAAAUGCGUAGAUAUCGGGAGGAACAUCAGUGGCGAAGGCGGCCUUCUGGUCCAGUACUGACACUCAAGUGCGAAAGCGUGGGGAGCAAACAGG